UUAGAUGGGGGAAACUAUCCUGAACAAACUGUAUGGCUCCUAAAUGUAUCACAGGAAUCCUCAGGAGAGGAAGGCAGAAGAGAACCCAUGGACUGAGAACCAAGGGCUGAGCAGUUCCAACAGCUGAAUCUGAUACGGAAGCAGCCACCCCAAACGCCUGUCACCUGCUUCAGAUAUUUUGGGGCUUUUACCUCCAGAGCUGUCGUUUUUUUUAAAACCGAGCCACUUUUUGCCCCGCCGUUGGUGUGCGAGCUUUGUUAGUCUACACCCACAACGUAGGCGUCUGUACACGGUAACGAGGUGAGGUUCCCUGGCCGGCCUUACCCCGCCGACCACUGCAGCACGUCCGACGGCUGCGUACGGAUGGCAGCCUUGGUGAACUGCUUGAGGAUGUCCGGCAGCUCCGGGGGGAUGUGGAUCUGCUGCGCGCAGAACAUGGUGUCGGGCAGCGGCAUCGCUCUGGGCAGACCGCGGCGGCCGGGGACGAUCCGCUGUGCUGCGGGGAGGAGAGGCUGGGUCAGAGCAGCGGGCGGCGGGGAGGGACUCGGUUGGCUCCGCUUCUAACCGACUGCUCCUCCCCCUCCAGGAAAUCGAGGCCCAACGGCCCACAGCGGUUAGGCAGCGCGAUUGUGGCGUGCGGUUUCCAGGCAACCCGAGCUGCGCAGGCGCACAGCCUCAGGUGGCUGUCCAUUAAGCAUCCAUGCGAGGUUGUGAAGAGUCCACUGAAUACAUAUGGGAGUGUCUGCUUUACCAGACACACUAUGGCAAGGAAAUGGCCUCCUAAGCAAAGAACAAACGGGUGUGGCUCCUGAGGUUCCCUCCUCCUCCAAGCAUGCCCUGAAGCAUAAAUGAAACUCUUAGGCACUGUUAUAUAAGCAAAGAUGAUUUAUAAAACAAACAAAA